UAAAAAUGGACCACAUAAGGUUGCAGAUGAAAUACUGCACAGAAAAUGUAUAUUACUGCAUUUAUUUUUCAGAUUUUUACUUAUAAAUUAAAUGACAGUGUUGUUGAGAAGUUGCAAAAGCAAUAUCAUGACAAACAGGAUUGAUCUGCAUGCAAAAUAAGAACAAAACAUACUUAAACAUGUAUUAAAAAAACUUUAUUUUCCAAUUCAUGGUGGCAAUUUCUUUUCACUUUGUCCUAUUUGGUUUUUUGAUAUUUGUCUACAAAUAUACA